rnacentral:rRNA from 1 species
GACGAACGCUGGCGGCGUGCCUAAUACAUGCAAGUCGACCUUAGUGGCGGACGGGUGAGUAACACGUAGGAACCUGCCUCAUAGCGGGGGAUAACUAUUGGAAACGAUAGCUAAUACCGCAUACUGUGAGAUGGACCUGCGUUGUAUUAGCUAGUUGGUGAGGUAAAGGCUCACCAAGGCGACGAUACAUAGCCGACCUGAGAGGAUGAUCAGUCACACUGGAACUGAGACACGGUCCAGACUCCUACGGGAGGCAGCAGUGGGGAAUAUUGGACAAUGGGCGAAAGCCUGAUCCAGCCAUGCCGCGUGUGUGAAGAAGGUCUUCGGAUUGUAAAGCACUUUAAGUUGGGAGGCGUUACCAACAGAAUAAGCACCGGCUAACUUCGUGCCAGCAGCCGCGGUAAUUC